rnacentral:rRNA from 1 species
CUUUUAUGGAGAGUUUGAUCCUGGCUCAGGAUGAACGCUGGCGGCGUGCCUAAUACAUGCAAGUCGAGCGAACAGAUGAGAAGCUU